rnacentral:lncRNA from 1 species
GUUUUGGUAGUUUUGUUUUUUUUUUAUAUUGAGAUUUCAGCUGAGAUUACUGUGUUGUCUCAGAUUUCAUUGAUCGAUGCAUGAGGUAAAAUAACUACAAACCUAAUACAAACUGUCAAAUAUUUUAUUUUUAUGAUACUAGUUGUCAGUGGCGGAUCCAGAAAUUUUCAAAAUGGGGGCCCCCUGACUGACCUAAGAGGGGG